rnacentral:rRNA from 1 species
UGGGAAUAUUGCGCAAUGGGCGAAAGCCUGACGCAGCAACACCGCGUGAGGGAUGACGGCCUUCGGGUUGUAAACCUCUUCAGCUCCGACGAAGCGAAAGUGACGGUAGGAGCAGAAGAAGCACCGGCUAACUACGUGCCAGCAGCCGCGGUAAUACGUAGGGUGCAAGCGUUGUCCGGAAUUAUUGGGCGUAAAGAGCUCGUAGGCGGUCCGUUGCGUCUGCCGUGAAAACCCGGAGCUCAACUCCGGGCCUGCGGUGGAUACGGGCGGACUAGAGUCCGGUAGGGGAGACUGGAAUUCCUGGUGUAGCGGUGGAAUGCGCAGAUAUCAGGAGGAACACCGGUGGCGAAGGCGGGUCUCUGGGCCGGAACUGACGCUGAGGAGCGAAAGCGUGGGGAGCGAACAGGAUUAGA